rnacentral:rRNA from 1 species
GGUCAAGUGAAGAAGCGCAUACGGUGGAUGCCUUGGCAGUCAGAGGCGAUGAAAGACGUGGUAGCCUGCGAAAAGCUUCGGGGAGUCGGCAAACAGACUGUGAUCCGGAGAUAUCUGAAUGGGGGAACCCAGCCAUCAUAAGAUGGUUAUCUUGUACUGAAUACAUAGGUGCAAGAGGCGAACCAGGGGAACUGAAACAUCUAAGUACCCUGAGGAAAAGAAAUCAACCGAGAUUCCCUUAGUAGUGGCGAGCGAACGGGGACCAGCCCUUAAGUUGUAUUGAGAUUAGCGGAACGUUCUGGAAAGGACGGCCAUAGUGGGUGAUAGCCCUGUACGCGAAAAUCCCUUUGCAAUGAAAUCGAGUAGGACGGGGCACGAGAAACCUUGUCUGAAUAUGGGGGGACCAUCCUCCAAGGCUAAAUACUACUGACUGACCGAUAGUGAACCAGUACCGUGAGGGAAAGGCGAAAAGAACCGCGGAGAGCGGAGUGAAAUAGAUCCUGAAACCGUAUGCGUACAAGCAGUGGGAGCCCACUUUGUUGGGUGACUGCGUACCUUUUGUAUAAUGGGUCAGCGACUUAUUUUCAGUGGCGAGCUUAACCGAAUAGGGGAGGCGUAGCGAAAGCGAGUCUUAAUAGGGCGUCUAGUCGCUGGGAAUAGACCCGAAACCGGGCGAUCUAUCCAUGGGCAGGUUGAAGGUUGGGUAACACUAACUGGAGGACCGAACCGACUACCGUUGAAAAGUUAGCGGAUGACCUGUGGAUCGGAGUGAAAGGCUAAUCAAGCUCGGAGAUAGCUGGUUCUCCUCGAAAGCUAUUUAGGUAGCGCCUCAUGUAUCACUGUAGGGGGUAGAGCACUGUUUCGGCUAGGGGGUCAUCCCGACUUACCAAACCGAUGCAAACUCCGAAUACCUACAAGUGCCGAGCAUGGGAGACACACGGCGGGUGCUAACGUCCGUCGUGAAAAGGGAAACAACCCAGACCGUCAGCUAAGGUCCCAAAGUCAUGGUUAAGUGGGAAACGAUGUGGGAAGGCUUAGACAGCUAGGAGGUUGGCUUAGAAGCAGCCACCCUUUAAAGAAAGCGUAAUAGCUCACUAGUCGAGUCGGCCUGCGCGGAAGAUGUAACGGGGCUCAAACCAUGCACCGAAGCUACGGGUAUCAUCUUUUGAUGAUGCGGUAGAGGAGCGUUCUGUAAGCCUGUGAAGGUGAGUUGAGAAGCUUGCUGGAGGUAUCAGAAGUGCGAAUGCUGACAUGAGUAACGACAAUGGGUGUGAAAAACACCCACGCCGAAAGACCAAGGUUUCCUGCGCAACGUUAAUCGACGCAGGGUUAGUCGGUCCCUAAGGCGAGGCUGAAAAGCGUAGUCGAUGGAAAACAGGUUAAUAUUCCUGUACUUCUGGUUAUUGCGAUGGAGGGACGGAGAAGGCUAGGCCAGCCUGGCGUUGGUUGUCCAGGUUUAAGGUGGUAGGCUGAGAUCUUAGGUAAAUCCGGGAUCUUAAGGCCGAGAGCUGAUGACGAGUGUUCUUUAGAACACGAAGUGGUUGAUGCCAUGCUUCCAAGAAAAGCUUCUAAGCUUCAGGUAACCAGGAACCGUACCCCAAACCGACACAGGUGGUUGGGUAGAGAAUACCAAGGCGCUUGAGAGAACUCGGGUGAAGGAACUAGGCAAAAUGGCACCGUAACUUCGGGAGAAGGUGCGCCGGUGAGGGUGAAGCAUUUACUGCGUAAGCUCAUGCCGGUCGAAGAUACCAGGCCGCUGCGACUGUUUAUUAAAAACACAGCACUCUGCAAACACGAAAGUGGACGUAUAGGGUGUGACGCCUGCCCGGUGCCGGAAGGUUAAUUGAUGGGGUUAGCGCAAGCGAAGCUCUUGAUCGAAGCCCCGGUAAACGGCGGCCGUAACUAUAACGGUCCUAAGGUAGCGAAAUUCCUUGUCGGGUAAGUUCCGACCUGCACGAAUGGCGUAACGAUGGCGGCGCUGUCUCCACCCGAGACUCAGUGAAAUUGAAAUCGCUGUGAAGAUGCAGUGUAUCCGCGGCUAGACGGAAAGACCCCGUGAACCUUUACUAUAGCUUUGCACUGGACUUUGAAUUUGCUUGUGUAGGAUAGGUGGGAGGCUUUGAAGCGUGGACGCCAGUCUGCGUGGAGCCAACCUUGAAAUACCACCCUGGCAACUUUGAGGUUCUAACUCAGGUCCGUUAUCCGGAUCGAGGACAGUGUAUGGUGGGUAGUUUGACUGGGGCGGUCUCCUCCUAAAGAGUAACGGAGGAGUACGAAGGUGCGCUCAGACCGGUCGGAAAUCGGUCGUAGAGUAUAAAGGCAAAAGCGCGCUUGACUGCGAGACAGACACGUCGAGCAGGUACGAAAGUAGGUCUUAGUGAUCCGGUGGUUCUGUAUGGAAGGGCCAUCGCUCAACGGAUAAAAGGUACUCCGGGGAUAACAGGCUGAUACCGCCCAAGAGUUCAUAUCGACGGCGGUGUUUGGCACCUCGAUGUCGGCUCAUCACAUCCUGGGGCUGAAGCCGGUCCCAAGGGUAUGGCUGUUCGCCAUUUAAAGUGGUACGCGAGCUGGGUUUAGAACGUCGUGAGACAGUUCGGUCCCUAUCUGCCGUGGACGUUUGAGAUUUGAGAGGGGCUGCUCCUAGUACGAGAGGACCGGAGUGGACGAACCUCUGGUGUUCCGGUUGUCACGCCAGUGGCAUUGCCGGGUAGCUAUGUUCGGAAAAGAUAACCGCUGAAAGCAUCUAAGCGGGAAACUUGCCUCAAGAUGAGAUCUCACUGGAACCUUGAGUUCCCUAAAGGGCCGUCGAAGACUACGACGUUGAUAGGUUGGGUGUGUAAGCGCUGUGAGGCGUUGAGCUAACCAAUACUAAUUGCCCGUGAGGCUUGACCAU